rnacentral:rRNA from 1 species
UAAUGUAUGGGGAUCUGCCCGAUAGAGGGGGGUAACUACUGGAAACGGUGGCUAAUACCGCAUAAUGCCUACGGACCAAAGCAGGGGCUCUUCGGACCUUGCACUAUCGGAUGAACCCAUAUGGGAUUAGCUAGUAGGUGGGGUAAAGGCUCACCUAGGCGACGAUCUCUAGCUGGUCUGAGAGGAUGAUCAGCCACACUGGGACUGAGACACGGCCCAG